GAUGAAGAACGCAGCGAAAUGCGAUAAGUAAUGUGAAUUGCAGAAUUCAGUGAAUCAUCGAAUCUUUGAACGCAUCUUGCGCUCCUUGGUAUUCUGAGGAGCAUGCCUGUUUGAGUGUCAUUAAAUUCUCAACUACACUGACUUUGAAUUGGUGUGGCUUGGAUUUGGGGGGAAAAUUGUUGUGGGCUUUUUGUAUAGUCCGCUCCCCUGAAAUUGAUUAGCGGUACCUUUGUGGAACUGUCUACAGGUGUGAUAAUUAUCUACAUCUUAGACAUCUGCUGGAAUGCUGCUUUCUAAACCUUACUUGUAUUGACAAUCUUGACCUCAAAUCAGGUAGGACUACCCGCUGAACUUAAGCAUAUCAAUAAGCGGAGGA
rnacentral:misc_RNA from 1 species